rnacentral:rRNA from 1 species
UACGGAGGGUGCAAACGUUGCUCGGAAUCAUUGGGCGUAAAGCGCACGUAGGCGGCCUGAUAAGUCGGAUGUGAAAGCCCUGGGCUCAACCCAGGAAGUGCAUUCGAAACUGCCAGGCUUGAAUAUGGAAGAGGGUCGCGGAAUUCCCGGUGUAGAGGUGAAAUGCGCAGAUAUCGGGAAGAACACCCGUGGCGAAGGCGGCUCUCUGGGACGGUACUGACGCUGAGACGCGAAAGCGUGGGGAGCGAACAGG